GGGCGAUGAAGCCGGUGCCGUUCCGAGUUGCGGUGCGUCUGGUGGAGCUCUGCGGGGGUUGCGUGGGAACCACUACUUGGAUAGGCUGCUUUGCGGCUGAACGAAAACACGCAGG
ncrna:unclassified sequences drum RNA